rnacentral:rRNA from 1 species
AUGAGCACCAGGGCCCUCGCUCUCGGCGCGGCUGUCGUCCUCGCCUUCGCCGCGGCGACCGCGCACGCCCAGAGGUGCGGCGAGCAGGGCAGCGGCAUGGAGUGCCCUAACAACCUCUGCUGCAGCCAGUACGGGUACUGCGGCAUGGGCGGCGACUACUGCGGCAACGGCUGCCAGAACGGCGCCUGCUACACCAGCAAGCGCUGCGGCACCCAGGCCGCCGGCGCGACCUGCCCUAACAACCACUGCUGCAGCCAGUAUGGGCACUGCGGCUUCGGCGAGGAGUACUGCGGCGCCGGCUGCCAGGGCGGCCCCUGCCGCGCCAACAUCAAGUGCGGCAGCCAGGCCGGUGGCAAGCUAUGCCCCAACAACCUCUGCUGCAGCCAGUGGGGUUACUGCGGCCUCGGUUCCGAGUUCUGCAGCAACGGCUGCCAAAGCGGCGCCUGCAGCUCCUCCAAGCCGUGCGGUAAGGACAAUGGUGGCAGGGUUUGCACUAACAACUAUUGUUGUAGUCAGUGGGGCCAUUGUGGCAUCGGCCCGGGCUACUGUGGUGCAGGCUGCCAGAGCGGCGGCUGCGACGCUGUCUUCGCCGACGCUAUCACCGCCAACUCCACCCUUCUCAGAGAGUGA